CCUACGGGCGGCAGCAGUGGGGAAUAUUGGACAAUGGGGGAAACUCUGACCCAGCAACGCCGCGUGAAUGAUGAAGGUCUUCGGAUUGUAAAGUUCUGUUCUAAGGGAAGAAAAACGUGACGGUACCUUAGGGAUAAGCCUCGGCUAACUACGUGCCAGCAGCCGCGGUAAUACGUAGGAGGCAAGCGUUAUCCGGAAUGACUGGGUGUAAAGGGUGCGUAGGUGGUGUGACAAGUCUGUAGCGAAACGCCGAGGCUCAACCUCGGCACUACUACCAAAACUGUCGGACUUGAGUGCAGGAGAGGCAAGUGGAAUUCCUAGUGUAGCGGUGGAAUGCGUAGAUAUUAGGAGGAACACCAGUGGCGAAGGCGAGUUGCUGGACUGUAACUGACACUGAGGCACGAAAGCGUGGGGAGCAAACAGGAUUAGAUACCCGAGUAGUC
rnacentral:rRNA from 1 species